rnacentral:rRNA from 1 species
GAUGAACGCUGGCGGCGUGCCUAAUACAUGCAAGUCGAGCGAACAGACGAGGAGCUUGCUCCUCUGACGUUAGCGGCGGACGGGUGAGUAACACGUGGAUAACCUACCUAUAAGACUGGGAUAACUUCGGGAAACCGGAGCUAAUACCGGAUAAUAUAUUGAACCGCAUGGUUCAAUAGUGAAAGACGGUUUUGCUGUCACUUAUAGAUGGAUCCGCGCCGCAUUAGCUAGUUGGUAAGGUAACGGCUUACCAAGGCGACGAUGCGUAGCCGACCUGAGAGGGUGAUCCGCCACACUGGAACUGAGACACGGUCCCGACUCCUACGGGAGGCAGCAGUAGGGAAUCUUCCGCAAUGGGCGAAAGCCUGACGGAGCAACGCCGCGUGAGUGAUGAAGGUCUUCGGAUCGUAAAACUCUGUUAUUAGGGAAGAACAAAUGUGUAAGUAACUAUGCACGUCUUGACGGUACCUAAUCAGAAAGCCACGGCUAACUACGUG